rnacentral:rRNA from 1 species
GCCAGACUCCUACGGGAGGCAGCAGUGAGGGAUAUUGGUCAAUGGGGGAAACCCUGAACCAGCAACGCCGCGUGAGGGAAGACGGUUUUCGGAUUGUAAACCUCUGUCCUCUGUGAAGAUAAUGACGGUAGCAGAGGAGGAAGCUCCGGCUAACUACGUGCCAGCAGCCGCGGUAAUACGUAGGGAGCAAGCGUUGUCCGGAUUUACUGGGUGUAAAGGGUGCGUAGGCGGAAGAUCAAGUCAGCGGUAAAAUUGGGAGGCUCAACCUCUUCGAGCCGUUGAAACUGGUUUUCUUGAGUGAGCGAGAAGUAUGCGGAAUGCGUGGUGUAGCGGUGAAAUGCAUAGAUAUCACGCAGAACUCCGAUUGCGAAGGCAGCAUACCGGCGCUCAACUGACGCUCAGGCACGAAAGCGUGGGUAUCGAACAGGAUUAGAUACCCUUGUA